CAACUUCCCCCUCAACUCCCCCUUUCUACAUCUCUGUAUAACACAACACACACGAAAAAAAAAAAAAAAGACAGACACAACCAAAAACUUAGAUAAAAGGGGACAUAAAACAGAGGGAAUGAAAAAAAAAAAGGAAAAUAGUGAGAAGAGAAGAGGAAAAGUAAGAGGAAAACAAAACAUUUCCAACACUUUCUAUUUCCAUAACACACGCACACAAGUCACAAACUGGACGGAGAAAAAAAAGGAAAAGGGUUACAAUUAGUUAAUGUCGGGUUCUUGUUCGAGUUUUUGGUGAUGGUGUUCUUGCUUCUUUUCAAGGUUUAAUUCAUCACGCAGGUUUCUAUCAAAUUUCGUAUUAUUAAUUUUAUAAGUUUUAUUAUAAAUCGAAGAAUGAAUGAAGUUAUUUCAAUGACUUCUUAUAUUAUUUAGUGUGUUUAGUUUUCUAUUUUUAUGUAAUACAUGUUUUAUGUCUUUAUUUGUAAUUCGAUUGUUGUUUUCUAAAUAAUAUUAAUUAGAUUGACUUUAAAUUUUAAAUGAGAUGAUUUUUUAAAGUAGGUGUUUAGAUAUACGGAAACAAUAAAUUGUGUUAGUUGACAUGCAAUUAAUAUGUAAUGGUGUUAUAAAUUAUAACUUAGUAUUCAUGUAUACAUGCACUAAAAGUUUUUUUAAAAAAAGGGAAUAAAAAAAAAGUGUAAUACUGU
rnacentral:lncRNA from 1 species